GCCGGUAGUAUCGUAAGGAAAUAAAAGCUAGACAAAUAGAUAAGUAACGAGUCAGCCAACAACUCAGUCAGCCAACUAACUAGGCAGCCAGCCAGGCAAACACCUAAGGACGCACAAGCGGUAUACAGAUAGAGGAUAGUUAAGUCGAGUUUUCAAAGAGCUUCGAAAAGUACGUUCGCUCGUCAGAGUGUGCCUAGUACAAAGUAGGAAGUCACGUUAGCGUAAUACCGCGUAAUUAUCAGUGAGCAUUAAUUGCACAGGAAACAAACAAGUGUCCCGGAUGCAGACAAAGUUCUUGUAAUGGGUUCCUGAUCAUCCCCCGGAAGCUAACGCAAUACGGAGCUCGAUUCUCGAGUAAAAUUUUUUAUCUGCCAAUCUCACGAGACAUAUCUAGGUUAGGUCACUACUCGCGACUCUGGUUGGAGUAUAGGAACAGUACUUGGCUGAAUAAAAAAAUGAAAAGUCCAGAACAAGUAUGGAGAAAUUCCGAUGAAAUCAAUAGAACUAGACUUGAUUCCGCGAAGUUCCUGGUGCGAUAUUGGCAUCGCUCGUCUGGUCUCCUGAUAUAAACACCUUUGGAAAAUAAGUGACGCGUGAAACUUAGUCGUGCCGUGCGACUAGGAGAGUCAAUCCAAGAGAGGAGAACCGAGUUGAACAAGAUUGGGUAUGACUUGUCGGAGAUCAGUCUUUCGAUAGUAUGGAUAUCCAAGAAAUUGAUCGCGCACGGAUGAAGAGGACGAGGAAGAGGAAGAUGAAAGAUCUUGUUCCACGUUGUUCGAUCAUCAUGGGCCCCCAGACGCCCCAUUCUCCAUACUGGCGUGGGGUUCCUGGCGCCGCCAAAGUGGCUUGGUAAUUUUAGAUUGGGCUAUUUAUAAAAAAAAAUGUUGGCAGAACAGACAGAGCGCGUCCCAAAGACAGUUCAGAGACUCCUCCCGUGCCGAACUCGUACCUAAAUCUGUACGUUUGGCAGAGGAUGUCAAAAAGGCACGGUCACCCGGAGCUUGACCAACGUCAAAUACAACAUAUAAUUUAAUUCACGUCAAACGUCGCGACUUUACUUUUCAGGACUCUCCGUAGUCGUCAUUAAAAUCUAUAUAGCGUCCAUAUAUUUCAAAUGGAUGAUUAUAAGUAAACACUCUUACUAUUUACAGCAGCAUCUGACUGUACGAAAUUUUCUGACGAUUAAAAUUAUCGGGUGGUAAAAAGCAGCAGAUAUUUUUUCCCGUUUCAUUCAGUCUCCUGGUUACGUGCACAACGGUACUGUUAAUAAUUAAAAUGAUUAUAUUAACGACCGAGUACAAAGGACCUCCCUAGCGCCAUCUGUGCGAUCUAUUAAGAGGCGUCCUAGCAUUCGUAGUCGUGUCGGUCCUCUAUACAAUUCAUUGUCAAGAUACUCCGCGAGUAUGAGAAAGACCCUCAGGGAAUUCUCUAUGUCGUAUCGUUAUUAUUGUUUGCGCUUCGUCUCAAUAAUCCCUCCUCACUGUCUAGGGUGGUUGCGCAAACGUUUCUCCAAGUGGGCAUGACUCUGAAUCGGCCUCGUACUCGUGAGGAUACACCGUAAUCGCGAGAACGACAACGUCGACCGAUAACAUCACGUGAAUACUUUGACGAGAAAAAUAAAAGAAGAAAGACAAAAGAUUUCUUUAACACUACCAAAGUCCUUCAUGCUGGCCGACGUUAUUCAGUCACCAAGAGCAGAACUCCCGCAGUAUAGAUAAAGGCGAUGACACAGGGUCGACUAGCUGGUCGUUGACACGGCUUCCCGAGUGAAUUUCGACGCGCACGACACUCAACGGAUUCUACCUAACCAAAGGAGCAAGGUCGUGCUCGCGAAUAAUAAUCGAAUCGAAUUAUCGUCAAUAGCGAUUGUGAUUACGACCACCAGUAUAAUGCGAGAGACACGUGUCAAUCGAUAUGAGCAAAGUGCUAAGGACAAUAAAACAAAAGACUAAAUUCA